CCGGCGGGCACCGGGCGGCGGCGCCGGGUGCUCCGCUGCCGGUGGACCGCAGGCCGGUUCCGUUCACGGCCGCGCCGGU
rnacentral:tRNA from 1 species